rnacentral:rRNA from 1 species
GUGGGGAAUUUUGGACAAUGGGCGCAAGCCUGAUCCAGCAAUGCCGCGUGUGUGAAGAAGGCCUUCGGGUUGUAAAGCACUUUUGGCAGGAAAGAAAUAGCGCGUCCUAAUACCAUGCGCGAAUGACGGUACCUGCAGAAUAAGCACCGGCUAACUACGUGCCAGCAGCCGCGGUAAGACGUAGGGUGCAAGCGUUAAUCGGAAUUACUGGGCGUAAAGCGUGCGCAGGCGGUUUUGUAAGACAGGUGUGAAAUCCCCGGGCUCAACCUGGGAACUGCACUUGUGACUGCAAGGCUAGAGUGUGUCAGAGGGAGGUGGAAUUCCGCGUGUAGCAGUGAAAUGCGUAGAGAUGCGGAGGAACACCGAUGGCGAAGGCAGCCUCCUGGGAUAACACUGACGCUCAGGCACGAAAGCGUGGGGAGCAAACAGGAUUAGAUACCCCAGUAGUCC